CGUUUGAAUCCAAUUCGUUUCCAAGAAAGGGGAUGGUCUCGUCAAUCCCUCGUCAGUCUCUCUCUCUCUCUCUCUCUCUCUCUCUCUCUCUCUUUCUCAUUCUUUCUCUCUCUCUCUCUCUGGAGAGCAUCAUGGGGAGAGAUUUUCUCCCGAGGGGGUCUGGGAUUGUGAUGAGGAGGUCGUUGGUGCUUCAGCUGCACAAGACGGAGGGUCAGGGAGGGGAUUAUGCGGAGUGUCUGCACUUGCCAAGGAGGAAAUUCACUGAUUUUGGGUUUAAAGAUAUAACCUCCGAAUAGUCAAUGGCGACUGAGGCUGAACUCUCCAAACACAAAGGAGGUAUCUUUAACCGCUAUGAUGAUGCCAUCGUUAUGUAAUUUGUAAAAUGAAAAUCCACCCCCUGCCCUUCCUAAAUUCAAGUAAAGCUAAAACCUGAGUUUUUUUUCCAUUUUGUGCUCAUUAUGUAGUCUGAGAUGUCUAUAUCUGGUUUAACGUUUAAUUCCCAAAAGAUAUCCUGCUACGCGGCACGAGCAAGAUGUUCUAAUUUCUCUGUUGGGUCUUCGUCCUUGAUUUCUAAUGGGUUCAUUAAGCUGAAGUUGAGCUUUUUAUCUCAUACGGAUAGGAAAUAUUUGGCCGUGACAGUUCGCAAAUUUUCGGUUGGAAGACCCGUCAGGAUAAAGAGCAGCGUAUAUGCUGCAUUUGGUGACAUGGCUGAUGAUUCAACCGCCAUUCAGGUGUCUUUCCAAGGAUUGACGUAAAGGACCCUUAUAAACGACUUAGAAUCGGUAGAGAGGCAUCUGAAGAAGAAAUUCAAGCUGCAAGGAACUUUCUGGUAAACAAAUAUGGGGGUCACAAGCCAAGUGUUGAUGCAAUAGAGUCAGCUCACGACAAAAUAAUAAUCUUAACUACAUUUAAAUACUGAGAUUGUUGAGUAAGCAAAGAGGCGAGCUGAGAUGGCAAGGCUACUCUUGCUUCAUCAGAUGACAAGGCUAAAGACUUGGAUCAAGCGCAAUCUGGGAAACUAAAAACUGAAUCCUGUUGAUAUACAAAGAUUGGGAAAUGUGGAAACAGUAACUAACCAAAUAAGUAAUAUAUCUGUUUCUUCAGCAGCAGAAGUAGCAAGCUCGUUUUAUUUAAAUCACUCACAGCACUCUCAACUUGUCUUGGAACAGCAUCAGGAUCAUCGAUUGAAGAACGCAAUAACAAUACAAAACCAAACUUGUUUAUUUAAAUCACCAAUACCUGCAGUGUACAUGUUGAUGCAAAG